rnacentral:rRNA from 1 species
UACAGAGACCUCAAGCGUUAUCCGGAAUCAUUGGGCGUAAAGCGUCCCGAUAGGUGGUUUUACAAGUCAGAAGUGAAAUCUCAAGGCUUAACCUUGAGUCUGUCUUUUGAAACUGUAAAACUAGAGGGGCAAAGAGGAAGCUGGAACGAACGGUGUAGUAGUGAAAUGCGUUGAUAUCGUUCGGAACACCAAUAGCGUAGGCAAGCUUCUGGGUGCCACCUGACACUGCUAGGACGAAAGCGUGGGGAGCGAAUGGG